rnacentral:rRNA from 1 species
UACGGGGGAUGCAAGCGUUAUCCGGAAUCAUUGGGCGUAAAGCGCCUGUAGGUGGUUUAAUAAGUCUGUUGUUAAAGACUAGGGCUCAACCCUAGAAAAGCAAUGGAAACUACUAGACUAGAGUAUGGUAGGGGUAGAGGGAAUUUCUAGUGUAGCGGUGAAAUGCGUAGAUAUUAGAAAGAACACCAGUGGCGAAAGCGCUCUACUGGACCAUUACUGACACUCAGAGGCGAAAGCUAGGGUAGCAAAAGGGAUUAGAUACCCCUGUAGUCCUAGCCGUAAACGAUGGAUACUAGAUGUUGUGCUUCCGUACAGUAUCGCAGCUAACGCGUUAAGUAUCCCGCCUGGGGAGUACGCUCGCAAGGGUG